rnacentral:lncRNA from 1 species
AUAGCCUUCAGAAACCACACAAACCCUGUAGAUAAUAAAGCUCCCAAAACAAGAAACCUUGAAUGCUCAUAUGGGAAAUUAAACUUGAGGAAAAUCAUUUCUUGAGGUUCCUUGUUUUAUAGGUGUGAAUUCAAGCGGCAGUGGCUUGUCUAUGUGCUUGGUUGCACACAAUUUCUUGUGGGACACGCUAGAGCUUUUCUUGGGUUACUUCCUCUUGUCUUUGCAUGCAUACUAGAUGGACACGUGGGAUGCUUUAGGUUGGACGUGGCUUUCAUGAGAGAAUUUGAAGUUAGGUGUGUGAUGUUGGUGCAUCCUAGNNNNNNNNNNNNNNNNNNNNNNNNNNNNNNNNNNNNNNNNNNNNNNNNNNNNNNNNNNNNNNNNNNNNNNNNNNNNNNNNNNNNNNNNNNNNNNNNNNNNNNNNNNNNNNNNNNNNNNNNNNNNNNNNNNNNNNNNNNNNNNNNNNNNNNNNNNNNNNNNNNNNNNNNNNNNNNNNNNNNNNNNNNNNNNNNNNNNNNNNNNNNNNNNNNNNNNNNNNNNNNNNNNNNNNNNNNNNNNNNNNNNNNNNNNNNNNNNNNNNNNNNNNNNNNNNNNNNNNNNNNNNNNNNNNNNNNNNNNNNNNNNNNNNNNNNNNNNNNNNNNNNNNNNNNNNNNNNNNNNNNNNNNNNNNNNNNNNNNNNNNNNNNNNNNNNNNNNNNNNNNNNNNNNNNNNNNNNNNNNNNNNNNNNNNNNNNNNNNNNNNNNNNNNNNNNNNNNNNNNNNNNNNNNNNNNNNNNNNNNNNNNNNNNNNNNNNNNNNNNNNNNNNNNNNNNNNNNNNNAUAAAGUAGCCGACCAGUUCACGAAAUGGACAAAGAACAUAUACCUAAACAUUCUUAUGGUGUUCUUGACCUCUGUGUCCACUGCCGUCGGCACGAAUACUAAUUACUAUUACUAUUUAUCUGCAUUUUUUAUUUAUUUUAUGCCCAUUAAUAUUCUAAUCCAUUCUGGAGAACAGAUAAAGAAUAAAAAAUGAAAUUAAUCAAACAUGUUUAAUGUUUUGAGCUUUAACAAAAGUGGAAUCCUUUUUUUGAAUCUUAAAACAUUUUUGGCAGUUAUUUCAGUUAAUUAAAAUGAGUCUAGCUAGGUUGGUGAAUGAGGUUAUUUCUGUAAUUAGAGAUAUAUGGAGAGAAGUUAGGAAUACAGAGACUCAGAGAGGAGGAUUAUUUGUAAAAGGAAAGGAAUCUCCCUCUGACAAUCAACCACGAAACAUCUCUACCAUGAUUUCUCCUUAAAAGAAAGACACAGGCGUUCUCUCCUUGUCUCCUCCUCCCCACCUCUCUUUCUGUGCAGGUUUUUCUAGUAAAACUUGAAGCCAGAAUGGAUAUCCCAGAAAGGGUUUUCCAAUAUAGAUAUCACUUAGCUAUAGCCAUCACUGCUCCGCUUGUUCUUUCCUUGCUAUUAUAUGUUGCUCCCAGGCUGAUCACCGUUCUUGCUUUCUUCUGGCCUUUAUUUGCCUCCACGGCGGUCUUCUUGGUUCUGGUCAUCGUCUUUGGUGGUGUUUCGCAGUUGCAGGCAACAGAUCAUUAUCAUGGUGAAAAAGCAGGUGAAGGGCUUCUUGAUUAUGUUGCGGGGCAGCCAGAGAGUACUGUCGACUGAGCAAUCACAAAAAUACGAGUGAAGAGGUGGUUUCAGUCUUGAGUUCAAGAUCAGCUGGACUGUAUGAGGUCUAAUCUUGUGUUGGAUGAUCAUGAAUAACAUCUGCCAAUGUAUAAGCCCAAGUUGUCUCAAGAAAGUUGAAGAGGAGGAGAAAUUAAGCAGCUUGAAGAUGUGAAAUCCAAUUAUAAUAAUAAUAAUAAUUGUAAAGAUAUGUUCUUUUUAUGCAUCUAACUUCACUUAUAUCUCCUCUUAGCACCUCAAUUUCUUUUUAAUAUUCUUAAAAUUCUUAAGAACAAAAACACCUUCCUGAUCAACUCAAAAUUAAAGAAAUUUUUUUUCCUACAAGAAAUGGAAAUAUAUGUAUUUUCAGACAAGAUUAAGUUUGAAAAAUGAUUGUUUUCGCAACCUGUUUCUAGCUCUACAUUAAGAAUGAAAACCUGCCCUAGUGUGAUUCUAUUUUGUGUUGAACAUGAAAGAAUAAAAGUUUGAAGAGUUAAAUAUUUGAGUGUUCAUAUAUAUAUUCAAUUGUGAGAAAUUGCCCAAACAAGACGUGCAGCACUAGCUUUUCUUCGCAUAUGUAGCAUAUUAAAUUUAUUUCCAUUGUUAAUUAAGUCUAUGUAUUAGCCAAUUCAUCGAACAUAAUCGAUAAAGAUAUGUUUGGUUCAUGUUUUUUUUUUUUAAAUAGUCAAGGCUAACCAGGUAGUUAAAAGCAAAAUAUAUAAAAAAUUUACAAAAAAAGAAAAAGAAAAUAACUAACAGAUACAUAACAGAAAAAAAAAAUCAAAAUUAAAAAAGCUAAUACACCACACUUGAAGCUUUUAUUUGAUGUUAUUAAACUCAAUUAUAAUACAUUCAGGCUCAAUAAUAAAAUCAGUGUCAGCCCCAUAUAUUUGGUGCAUGUAACUGGAAAUGAUGAAUUGUUUUCAUCUUGUGUAUUUAGCUAUAAAUAAUUUUUCAUUUUUUUAAGAAAAAGCUAAGAAUAUUUUCUAUUUCCAUAUUAAUUUAUUCCAUUUUUAAGGACAUGUGUGUUUGUCAAUUAUCAAAUAAGAUUUAAAACAAUAAAUAGUAGAUUUGUUUAAGAAAUUAAAUAUUGUAAUUUGUAGGAUUUGUGCAUUUGGUUAUUGGAUAUGGUUUCAUUCAAGCGAUACACUAUCAAGAUUUAUUAUACCUAAAAUAAAAAUAUAGAUGAACUUCUAUAAUCUAUUCUUCACCGAUUAAGUAUUGAUUUUGAUUAUUCACGUAGUUAUAAAACCUAAUUUAGUAAAGUUCAGGUCAAGGUUUAGAAUGAUCAACUUUUUUUGUUGAAUCAAAAUUAAUAAAUUAAUUAAGAGUCAGAUUUUAACUAGAUCAAUUAAUUUUUUUUUUAACUUUUUAUCUUUUAUUUAAUAUGGACCGGAAGUAUGGAUUUUAAAAUUAUAAUAGUGAGUGUAAAAAACAAAUUUGAACCUUAAUAUUGCCAUGUAGGAAACAACAUAAUUGAGUAUUUUGAUUACUUUUUCCAUUCAUAACUUGCAGAGGCAAUGGGUAUAUUUUCAACUUGCGUACAGGGGACAGAUUGCUCUAUAUAUAUAUAUAUAGACUUUCAGAUGCGCAAAUCGUAUAAUCUCUUUUAGAGGUAUAAUAAAAAGUGAAGCAUUUCAAUAAAUCUUUCCACGCAAAGCAGCAAAAAAAUGCGUUCCCUUUCAAGAAAUUAUUCAAGUUCGAGAAAUUUUGAAACCAUUUCCAAAAAAGGAUGAUCACCUGCCUUUUUUUUGCAGAAACUAGCUAGGAUGUUUUCUAAAUAAUUGAAACUGAAUGUCAUUUGCAUCGAAUUCAGCAUAAUUAAAGAAUGGCAAACAAUACGAUUAAUCUUCAAAGAAUAUGUAUAUGGUUUAGGAAUAGUGAGCUUCUGCAAAUUAAUGUCAGAAGGUCACAAGCUCAAAUCCUUUUAUAUAUAGAGCAAUUAACUGAUAUAUAUAUAGAAAGAACAACACAAUUAUUCUAACAAUAAAAGAAAUUGCAAUAUAAAAAGAAUGUUGCCUGGCCUGGUUUCGUCUUUCACUAGGCAAUCAUGCUACUCAUUUUCUAUUCUCACAGGAAUGUCUGAGCUAAGAUGACUGAGAAGGAAUUAUAUCUGAUUCUGUCAAGGUCCCUGACUGAUCAACAUCAAGUUUUCUGAAUCUCUCCAUCACUAAUGAAAUAUCUUCCUGGCUUAUCUUCCCCAUCUCCUUCAACGUGUACACAAUGAACUCUGCAGCACUGAUCAACAACCAAACAUUGGAUGCACGUACAGAUUUUUCAAGGCAUUGGUAACGGAACAAAGGCAGGGAUAAGUCGUGCUAUGAUCAGCUGUUCCUUACCUUACAGUUUUAUCGUGAUCAAUAUCUGCUUCCUCGAGAUCUGAGGCUGUGACAUUUCGAGCGAGAACCCGUUGAACGAGUAAUCUUUGCCUCUUUUCAGUGUAUAAUUCAGCAAGGUAGAGAAAGAAUUGAGCUAAGCAAAUGGUGCUGCUCAGUAUCCAGAAGACAGCAAAUACUCGACCAGCCCUGGUUGAGAAGCUGUCAUCUCCGUAUCCAAGAGUAGUGAUGGAAGAACAGACACAGUAAAAUGCAUCGACAAAUUCGAAACUCUCAACCAGAUAUAAGAAGAUGGUUCCAACUAUUAUGAGGAGAAAGAGAAGGAUUAGGGCGAGAAGAAACUUGUACUUGACUUUAUGUGUUUCAACCUCUUCUAGGAUCUCAGACAAACCAGUUUCUUCGUUCAUGUGCAUUGCUCUAACCAAGAGAAUCUCCUGCUUUUCUACGAUGUAAUCCGCUGCCUUGCUGAGAAUUAUCCCACCAAGAGCCAUGCCUGCAAAGACAUAAACGCACGAAAGAAGCUUGGCCAGUGUAGUAUGAGGCACUAGAUCUCCAUAUCCAACUGUUGUCAUUGUCACAACAGAGAAGUAAACACCAUCAACAAUCCCAUUUGUUUUCUUGCCUUCGAUCUGAUUCAUGAUAAGGGAGAAACAUAGAGUGCCUACACCUAGAUAGAUAGCCAAGACAAGGAACACUUUCUUGAAGCUACAAUCUUGAUUCUCAAGUAAUGAUUCGAGCCAUUUGAGAGAUGAGUUGCCAUCCUGCUCAGGAUGUUUGAUCUCUGUUACAUUGACAUUCAUAGGCUGCCUAAAUCUUCUUCUCUGAAGAGCAUUCUUUUCAUCUGGAAGCAAUGACUGCGUCGCAUCAUCACUGGCCAUCAAAAACAAGAAGAACAGAGAUGCAAGCCCUUCAAAUUAUACCCUGCAUGGAAACGUAAAACCAAUGAAUUUUUUUCUAUUUAAUUUGAAACUUGCAUUCCAUAAAGAAGUUAACAAAAGGAAAGGAAAGAGAUAUCAAAGACCAUGGAGAUUAUUGAAAAGGGAAAGUUCUGGAUUUGCCUCACAAAACUCUUAAAAAAUUGUUGAUGUUUUAGACCCCAUGUAAAUCUUGAAAGAUCAAUGCAAAUUGAUAAUCACAGAAAUCACGCUAAUGUUUCCAUGUGGCUUAAGUUCUUGCCCGUAAUAAAGUCCUGAUUUUGGGAUUGCGGUUACCAAAUCCAAAAGAAGUCAAAACCUGCCAUGAUUUUCUAUCAAGUCAAAUCCUUGGUACUUGUUAUUUGUUACAAAUCAGCCAGUCAUAAGCUGGACAGAAUUUGUUUACAGCUUUUAUUUGACAAGUUUGCCUCGUUUAGAAUUAAAAAUGUAAUAAAUUCUUUCCUCCUUUCACAAGUCCAAUUCUGAACACAUGGAGGUGAGCGCUAUACUACGGUUAGAUUAAAAUUAAUUUAAAAAAUAUUCAAGCCAUAUAAAGUUAUUUGAACAUUUUAUUAAGGUUAAUUUUGAAAUCUUUUAACAAAAUCUCUUGCAUAAUCUAAAUUUAAAAGCAAGGUUAUUUUGAUAUAAAUCAAAUGAUUUAGUUAGUUUAAAAACAACAUGAGCAACUAAUAAAAAAAAUUAAGGAUAAAAUUAAAAGAUUUAAAAUUAAACAAUAUAGAAAAUAUCCAAGUGUAAUUCAUUUGACAUAACAGGUUCAUAGUCAACCUAAAUAGAUAUUAUCAAGUAAAAAAAAGUUAUUGAUAAAUUAAAAAAAAAAUAGAGAGCCACUACAUUCUUGUAAAGAAAAUUGAAACUACUUUUAACUAAAAUAUAUUAUAGCAAGUUAAUUUUAUUUAGGAUGGAUUAGAAGGUAGAAUGCUGGUUUUAGCUAGGCAUAUUGAUUGAUUUAUUUUUAAUUUAUGGUUAUCUUUUAGACUUUAGUUUCUCAUGGGCAUUAGGAGUUACAAAUGAUGUUGGAUCUUUAUUGUUUUUAUUAGAACUUCUAUAUCACAUGAAUCAAACAAAACAAUAAGUUGAUAACCUAAUAUUUAAAAGUUUUUUUUUUUAUAUCUUUAAUGGGUUAUUGUGGUUGGUUGAUAGAUCUAAUUUCUAAUAUGGAUAUGCUAAUAUUAAAAAUAAAUUUGAAAAAAUAAAAUACAUUUUAUCUUUUUUAUUAUUAUUAUUAUUAUUUUUGCAAAAGGAUAGCCUUGCACUUAAGAUAGGGUAAUAAUAAGAGGAUUAAAUUAGAAAAUAAAAAGGAUGAGACGAAAAUAAAAUAAAACGAAGAAUAGAGGGACCAAAUGCACCACUAACCAUUUUGUUUUAGCUACUGCAAGAAGAAGAAGCAGAAACACAAGUUAAAGAGCUCUCAAAGUCUCAACGCCGGCUGUCUCCUCCGUCUUCCACGGGUACGUGCUUAGAUUGUUCUUUUGUUUUUCUUAAGGUCAGGGAAAUUUCAUAAAACGGGUAGUUAGUUUAGUGCUUUCUUUUGAUUCUUUUUUUUCUUUUCCAGUGAAGGGUUUAUGCUGCCAGCUUUCUUAGAAAGGUUUAGAGAGUAUUUAUGUACAACUGAGACAGUUAUAGACUGAUAGGUUUUAGUUUUUGAAGUGGAAUUAAUGACAUCUGUGCCGUCGAAAAAUAUAUGGAUAAAGAGGCAGCAAUGCCCAUGUGGGGAUUGGAAAUGUUAUGUUACUUGUGAAGGAGAUGUUGAAGAGGCAUCUGUAGCAUCUCAGUUGGAAAAAAAUGAAACUUUUCAAUCUGAUUCAAUGGUUUCUCCUUAUGUAGGAAUGGUGUUUAAGAGUGAUGAUGAUGCGUUCGAGUAUUAUGGGAAUUUUGCUAGGAAAAAUGGGUUUUCUAUUAGGAAAGAGAGGUCAAGAUUGAGCCCUCAAUUGGGUAUUUAUAAACGUGAUUUUGUUUGUUAUCGUUCGGGGUUUGCGCCGGCUAGGAAGAAGUCGACUGCAGAACACCAUAGGGAUAGGAAAUCGGUGCGGUGUGGAUGUGAUGCAAAAAUGUAUUUGUCAAAGGAAGUUGUUGAAGGGGUUUCUCAAUGGUUUGUUGUGCAAUUUAGCAAUGUGCAUAAUCAUGAGCUUUUGGAAGAUGAUCAAGUGAGGCUCCUUCCAGCUUAUCGGAAGAUUCAAGAGGCGGAUCAGGAGAGGAUUCUUUUGCUUUCAAAAGCUGGGUUCCCAAUACAUCGAAUAGUGAAGGUGUUGGAGUUGGAAAAGGGUAUUCAAGGUGGGCAAUUGCCUUUUCUAGAGAGGGAUGUUAGGAAUUUUGUUCAAAAUCGCAAGAAGAUUGUUCAAGAGAAUGAUGCUUUGCUCACUGAAAAGAGAGAGAAUGAUAGUAUGGAACUUCUUGAGGCCUGCAAAGUUACCAAAGAGAUGGAUGGAGAUUUUGUUUAUGAUUUCACAAUGGAUGAGAAUGAUAAGGUUGAGAACAUUGUGUGGUCGUAUGGUGACUCUGUUCGUGCAUACACUUUGUUUGGUGAUGUGGUUUAUUUUGACACUAGUUAUCGUUCUAUCACAUAUGGCAUGCUAUUAGGGGUAUGGCUUGGAAUUGACAACAAUGGGAAGACCGUAUUCUUUGGCUGUGUUCUGUUGCAGGAUGAGACGGCUCGUUCCUUUGCAUGGGCUUUGCAGGUUUACUAAUUCAAUCCCAUGAGUUGAUUUUAUUUCUGUGUAUUUUUCUCUUGCAGUUACCAUUUUCUGUUUUUGUUACAGGCUUUUGUCCAUCUUAUGAAAGGAAAAUGUCCACAAACAAUUCUAACUGACCUUGAACUGGGGCUUAAGGAUGCUGUUAGAAGCGAAUUACCUAGCACUAGACACGCUAUAUCUAUAUGGAAUAUUCAACCCAAGAUAUCCAGUUGGUUUUUCCUUUCCCUUGGGGCUAGAUAUCCAGAAUUUAAAUCAAUCUUUGAUGAUUUGUAUCAUGCUGAGAACGCAGAUGAUUUUGAACAUAGAUGGAGUCAGAUGGUUUCUUUGUUUGGAUUUGGUUCAGAUAAACACAUUGCUUUACUCUAUUCUCUUCGUGCAUCCUGGGCAUCAUCCUAUAUGAGAGGUUACUUUCUUGCUCGGAUGGCGACAUCAGCAUAUUUGAAAUCUGUAGAGUCAUUUCUGAAAGCAAUCUGUUGUGCACAAACAUGUUUACGGAGCUUCUUUGAACAGGUAUAUCAAAGGCAUAUAUUUUUUUUGAAACUCUUGAAUGGGAAGGUUUUUGUUGAAAUUUUUGUCUUGUUGAUUAUUUUUUUUGUUGUUGGUACUCUUGUAGGUUGGUAGCUCCUCCAAUUUCCAGAACCAGCUACGUCAAGAGAUGCAGUACAUGCUCACUAAAACAUGCAUGCCUAUUGAAGAGCAUGCACGUAAUUUUCUUACACCUUUUGCCUUCAAUGAUUUCCAACAUGAAUUGGUGCUCUCUAUGCAAUGUGCUCUGUCUGAAAUGCCGGAUGGAUCAUAUCUUGUACACCACUACAAAAAGAUGGAUGUUGAGCGGCUUGUAAUAUGGAUACCAGAAGAUGAACAGAUUCACUGCACCUGUAAGGAAUUUGAGUCUUCCGGGAUGUUGUGCAGACACACUCUUCGGGUGUUCAUCCUGAAAAACUACUUUCAGCUUCCUGAAAAAUAUUAUCUUAGCAGAUGGCGAAGGGAAAGCUCCCUAGUUUUCUAUGAUAAUCAAGAUACUCAAACUAAUGAUGAUGGAUGGUUUCAAGAAUUUCAAUCCCUGACUGAAACUCUAUUAACAGAGUCAUCAAUCACAAAGGAGCGUUCUGAUUAUGUCCAUAGGGAACUGCCAAAGGAACUGAAAAGACUUAUUAGUGAGGUUAGAAAAAUGCCAGAAAGUGAUGGAGUUGCUAUGGAUUUAACACUUUCACCAUCUAGUUAAUUUACAGUAGGUGCAAAUAUGUCUGGUAAGUUACCAAGGGGACGGCAUGAUCAUUGGCAGGAAGAUGUCUGGGUGUUUUUGUUGCUCAUUUUCAUCAGAAAGAGAAUUUUGGAAAGAAAAGCUAACCUGAAGUAGAUGUAUGAAGUGUUGCUCAGAUGCAACAAGUUGACAUUGUUUCCUUUGUGAAUAACUAUGGAAGACUGCAAAAAAUAUGAAUUGGACCAAAAUGAACUCAACCAAGGUGAUGUACUACAUAAAUUAUCAAAAAUGUGUUUUGCUAAACAAAAGAAUGACAGUAAAAGAGAUUUUUCUUAUCGUGUUCUUGGCUUUUUAUUUCUUUCUAAGAAACUUAAUGUCAUUUGCCUAACUGCUUGUUCUUGUCAUGAACGCAUGCUAAAACAUUUUCCAUGCUUUCUCUUGCUGCGGUCAUUUCCAGUUGUGCACAAAUGGAAUAGGUUGUAGUUUUCAAUCUUCUUUCUUUAGUCUCAAAGAACAAGAUAGAAGGGAGGAAAAACAAAAAAAAAGAAGAGAGGCUGUAUUUGUAGCUCUUUGUAAAUUCUCUAUUCAAUUUGGUGAUUAAUUAAGUAAUUCUAGCUGUCUGUAAACCCAAUCACAUUUGAUAGUUUUGUGGCUGAUUACCUAACAAUCCUUUUUUUAAUGUUUUGAAGUCUGCUUGUUAGGAAGUCGACAACUAUCUGCCAAUAUGUGGAAGAGAUAGUAGUUUUAUUUUUCAUCAAUUAUUGUUUCCUUUAUAUCAUGCACCAUAAUACAAUGAGAGGUUAUUGUGGAGAUAUUAUAAUAGAUAUUCCACUUUUAAGACAAAGGCUAUCUGAUGUUAGGAAAGUGUACUACUAAUUGUCCUAACUAACAUCAUAGGAAAAAUGAUGAUGCUUAAAGUUUACUGGUUGAAAUAACUGAAUUUCUGCUUAUGUUAUUAAUUCAUAGAAAAAGCAUAAAGGACUGAUCUGACUGUUGUGUUAUUCAUAAACAUCUACCCUUAUUUGUUCUGUCUUCUGCAGUUGAUACCUUUUGUUGUACAAUAGGUCGACAGAGUGUUGGUGGUUGUGCCAACAAUUUCUAUAUAAAUCAAUAUUUAUAUCUGAAAUUGAGAAAUGAAUACAUGUGUCUGAUUAUGAGUAGUCAGGACUUCCACAAGCAACUGAAAUGAUAUUAAUCUAUUUAUUCCCAAACAUAAGAGCAUGUGAGCCAUGUUACUUCUUGAUGUAUUUGUUCACCAAAAUAAUAAAAUCUUACUACUUAAUGGAUUUUUUCUAAUUUUUUAACAAGUGCAUGAUGGAUUGGGUUAUCCGCCUGAUGUUUGAGAAGGCUCCAUUUAAUCCCAGAGUUUUAUUUCCUGUAUUGUUUGAUUGUGUUUUAAUCUAUUCAAUCUAAUAAUUAUUAUAGGUUUUUAAACAGUUAUGAAUAUGAUUCGAUAUAACUUGGAAUUCCAGAGGAUGCAAUUGUGCUGCUAGCAUCUGGUAUUCAUUUACGCACACAUAAAUGUACAUAUGCAUCUAUUUAGCCAAGUAUGUAGGCUGUAGAAUCCUUGUUGAUUUUGAAAUCAUUGACAUCUAGAGCAGCUUGUCAUUUCUUGGCUCCCCAUAAACUCAUGCCCGGAAGAAUUAAAAUAAUUAUUGGUUUACCAAUAUGCUUGUUACAAUUUUGCCAUCUAAAUGCCACAAAAUUUUGAACCAAAUGCUUUAGUUGUUGAGUUGAAGUUUGUCAAAGCUGUUUCAUCAUAGAUGAUAAUGAGCUGUAUAAUCGUGUUUGUUUGUGGUUCCAUUUGCAUCACUGCUCUAAAAAUUUUGUGCCCAUCAGAGCUUCUGGACAAACGGAAGCAUGCAGAAAAUUAGGUGUGUUCUAGUGAUAGCUAUAUUGUUUCUUGGUUUAAGCUUCGACUGUUGCCGCCCUUUUUUACAUGAUAUUUUUCCUGUGUGAAACUUUUUUGCUACCUCUCAACCUUUUACUGAAAACAUUCAUACGCAAAAAGCCAAGAACCACAAGUUAUAGCAGAUUGUUGUGUGCAUGAUUCACUAGUUUAUUGAUCCAUGCCAUGUCCAUGUUUGAUUUUUUCCCCUGAAGGAUUUUUAAGACUCUGUCUACCAUACAAGUGUCCUCAAGUAGGAUUUCAAGGAUCCACACAUUCACAUUAUUGUACUGAUUUUUGUACAUUCAGGAUCAUGCAUUCUUUCAUUUAAAAAAUUGUUUUCUUUAAGAGUGAUUGUUAAACUGUUAGACACUAGAAUUAUUGGCAAUAAUUUCUGACUUGCUGUCGUGUCUUCGUUUGCAGACAGAUGGAAAUGGAGUCCAAGUUCCAGUCAUUCCAACCCAUUCUCCCAUUGAGGCCCUUCUAGAUUUAUCCCCCAUGGUGUGCUGUUGCAGGUAUGCAUUUGACAUGGUUCAUUCAUUUCAAAUCUUCAUGCAGGGAGGGGUCCCUCUUGAUUAGAAACCGUGGCCAUGAUAUUUGUCAGGAAAAUAAAUAGAGGGAGUAGAAAUGAAUACUGCCAAGUUCUAACCACAUAAGCAUACUAACUACAUUGAAUGGUCGGUUUCUAUGGUCGGUUUCUGUACUGUACCAUGUAGUAGAUGACAAAAGGGCAAUACAUAUCUGCUCUCAAUUUCGUUUUAUUGUCUUCUUGUUGUAAUGCAAAUAUCAACUCGCCGAACUUCUACCGCUCUAUAAUAUUAUUGCAUGGUCAUAUAAAGUUGACAAGAUUCCUGAUUAUUUUCAUGAAAUAUAAGCAUAAACACAAGUGACGGACCCUAAUCUUUUGUCUUGUUAAUGUUACGGGGCCAUGAGCACGUGGCAGUUAGCAGCUGCAAUUAGGGAACUUUUGGCAGCGAGAUGGAAGCACGUGGAAAGUGGUCUUAGGCUCAUUUGGUAUCAUUUAUUUGUCUAAUUGGGGGUAACAUUAAUAGGAUUUUUUUGAAAAAAUAAAGGGGUGUGGUAUAGAUAAUUACAUGCUUAAAAAGCUGAUUAAAGGCUCUUUUCUCAUUCUGGACAUUUGCAUAGGAUUUCGAAUCCGGGUUCUUUCUCUUACAAUUUGGGAUAGAUUCAUAUCUUUGUGGGCCAUACCUGAUAUGACUUGAUAAUCAAAGUCCUAUCAAUAUCAAAGUUUGCUUUCAUUUCUCAUGAGAUUUUUCUUAUCCUUUCUUACAUCCUUUGGAAUUUGAUGUGCAAGAUACAUACUCUACUAGCAAUCUUACAACAUAUGUACUUGAAAGCUUGGUUUGAAAUAUUUAAUAUUCAAAAUGAAGCCUAUCCAGAUGAUAAAAAAUAAGCAUUAAGCGCUCUCUCUCUCUCUCUCUCUCUAUAUAUAUAUAUAUAUAUAUAUAUAUAUAUAUGGUUUUCAUUUUCAUCUAACGCAUGUGGUUAUAAGAAAUGAUUGGUGUAGAAAAAGUGGAAGUCCCUCUAGUAUUUGGUUAAAAUUUCCCUGGUAGCCUAUUUAUUUGUGUGUUUAGGGUGCUUUUUCGUGGCAGCUUUUUAUUACAGCUAGGGCAAUGAGUAAACUAGAACUGCUUUUGAUAGUAAAAUGAAUCUAGAACUCCCUUUUAACAUAGAGAAAAUAAAAUAUCUGUGAUUGGAUUUAAAGAUGGCAUUAUAUUAUACCAACAUACUACUAGCUUGGACUGCUGAAAAUCUAGAAUGUAAUGAAGACAGAAUUUACCACAUAUUCCACAACGAUUUAGCUUGUUUUGCACCACCAAGACAACCGACCACAAUUUUUAUACAAUUUUACAAGCAUCAAUAAUUAUAUUGAAUAUCUCAGGCAAGUUAUCAUAUUUUAUUUUGUUCACAUCACAUCCAUCUUUUAUAUGCACAUCCUUGUCUUUCUAGUAUUUUCCACAGUGCUUGGGAGUCCUGAAAUCUACCUAAACCCUUUGGAAUAGUAGCAUCUUCUUGAUUCAUGCAAAACAAAUUUCUUCUUGAUUCAUGCAAGACAGAAAGGGAAAAGGGGAGAGAGAGAGAGAGAGAGAGAUUGGACUCAUUAUUUAUUAGCUAAUUUGGAGAAGAAGAAACUAGGACCACAGCUGAGUGUACAAGGCCCAGUUAUCACACUACAAGGAAAGUGACGGCUUUUACAUGAUGAAAGGGGGAGGGAUUUGAGAUCGGGAAGCAUUGACAAGGACUAAAAGCUAAUGGACAUGAAAGCUUUGCCAUGAAAAACUAUGACUAAAGCUUUAAACAACUAAAAAUGCAUAUAUAUUACACUGCAAUUAGUUGUUGUUGAGCUUCAAUCCUUAUUUCUUCUUUCAUUUUCCUUAUAAAUUCCUCAAUUCUCCUGUUCAAUUCUUCAGUACUUGCCAACUCCUCGUUUCCUUCUUCUUCCUCUUGUUUCACCAAGCACUCUCUUUUUUCUUCCAUGUACUCUUCUUCUUCUGUAAUCAAAGCUUGACUUGAAGUAGCCUCCUCCUCCUCCUCCUCCUCCUCUUCAGUUGCAAGAACAAUAUCCUCUAGAGAUUCAACACUUGCCACCUGAACUUCUUGAUCAUCAACAGUAGCCUCAGCUUUGGCAGAAGAUAAGGUAGGUGCUGAUGAAAACUGCCUUUCAUCACCGAGAUUAGACUGGUCAACAGAAGCAGGAGUUUUUGAAGAAGAAACCGAACUCUUGGCAAGAAUAGCAAGGAUUCCAUUACAAAUGAGAAACAUAUACUUCCUCUCUAGGUAAUGACUAAGAAAUGAGAAUACACCAGUAUUAUUAAUAUAUAAAAUCAAGGGUUUGGGAAACAAAGAAAAGCCUGAAGAGAAGCAAAGAAACAAAGAAAAUAAGGAGACUGAGAUAAGAAACUGCAAAGUCCUUCUCAAGAAAUGGUACUGGUAAGUUUGGUCCUGCAUCUUUAUGGUUUCUUCUUGGCCAAAGAUGUAGGAGUAUGCUCUCUUGGAAGUGGCAGUAGUCUGAAGGGUACGUGACCUUGGAAGGGAGGGUUAGUGUAUUGGUUUGGUAAGUACUCGAGAUGAUUUGAUUGUUGAAUGAAAUUGAAGGGUCUCUCCUUAUUUAUACCAAUCUCCAAGCUAGCACCCUUUUUGGUAGACUUACAAAAACGACCUUGUUGGUAUGAGCAGAGGGCACGAAGUGGAACUUUCUAAAAGAAUUUGGGGCAGAAGAGAAGAGAAGAGAAGAAAAGGUGAGUCAACUUCUCCUGUUGGGUAAAUUAUAGUUUAAACCCUAUAGUUAGGAAUGUAAGCACAGAUCGGAGAAAUGUCUCGUUAUAUAAAAACAAAUUGAUGAAAAAAAUAAAAAAGUGUGAGGACGUUAUUGAAGGAUAGGGACUAAAAUAUAGUUUAUCAUAAAAAGUGCUUUUGCAAGCAUCAAUUGUAAAGAAAUGCAAUAAGAUUCUUUGGAGGAAAAAUAGAGGUGGGUGCUUCUUUGAAGUUUCCAGUGGGCACUUAAAACAAGGUAGGAACAGUACCAUUACUUUAUUUUUUCCCCUUCCCCGUUGUAUAUUUGGACAUGUAAUUUGAUCUUCAACCAUCAAUAUUAAUUAAUCUAGGAAAGCUGUACAAAUCCUUACUACUAUUAUGUGGACCCUAUGCUUAAUUAUUUGAGUUUCCGGUUAUAAAAUUGUUUUUUUUUUCCUGUAUGAAUAGUCAACACUCAACAUCAUGCAAUGAGCUCAAAAGAAAAAAAAGGAAAAAAAAAAACUUUAAACAAUGCAUGAGUUAUUAAGAAGGUUUUUGGAGUGUGAUAAUUAUGAUAGUUGAAAUUGUUUUUUUUUUGUUUAGAAAUGUAUUAAAGUUAAAUAUUUUUAUUUUUUUUUUAAUAUUAAUAUAUUAAAACGAUCUGAAAUAAAAAAAAAAGAAAAAAAAAAGUUUUAAAAUUUUUAAGAAAUUGUUAUUUUAACCACAUUUCCAAACAUUGUUUAAGAGGUGUUUUGUUUUCAUAGCUGGUUGUGUGUUUUAAAAAAAUUUAAAAGUUUUUUAAUUAAAAUUUAUUUUUUAAAAAAUUAUUUUGAUAAGUUAAUGUUAAAAUUAAAUUUAAAAAAUAUAUUAUUUUAAUAUAUUUUAAAGUGAAAAAUAUUUCAAAAAAUAAUUACCACAACAAUAAUUAACAGGAUGUAAAUUGACCACUGGAUUCAUUAUGCACCCAAAAAUACACCAUAAUGACAGUAAAACAAGUCAUUUACAGCUUAAUUAGUAUUCAUGAAUCAUGCACGAGCUUCUAAUGAGCGCUAAUUGCAUGGAGUUUCUUGUUUGCCUGUAGUUUUGGAACCAAGACUCGAUGGAGUGUAAUUCCAACAGCGGGAUCAUGGCUCGACGACUCUAAUUUCGAGGAGGGAGAACUUCGACAUCGAAAGAUAAGUAAGUGAAAUGACGAGCAGGAUUAGAGAUUCGAAGAGGAGGCGGCGACACCCUGGUUUGGACAACUACCUUUGCAAUGCUCUGUUCCAUUUUCCCUGCUCUCCAAUAAAACCCCAUCUUGUAUGUCUCUGUUUGUACUGAUAAAAAUUGUGUCGUCUCCAUUUCUGUUCUUGUGGCUGAGUCUCUGAUUUGAGGUUAAUGUUUACUGAAGUACUGAAACGGGGACAAGUUACAGGUGUUCUGCUAUAAGUAAAGCGUGAGAGCAGCCCGUAGAGUUUUGACUUUAGAGUAAUGUUUUCUCGAUAUUGGGCUCUCUUCCGAGGCUCCGUUGUUAUUAUCAGGCUUCAAUAAAGCUUUAGCAGAAACUAAAUUGGUCUUGCAUUUUUCACCCAAUUUAUAGUGGCCUGAUAUGAAUGUGAAGAUAAGGCAAUCACAGGCUAGGUCCGAGCCUUGACCAUGAACACACAUAAAAGAAUGCCUACGGUACUGCUUGAGAAGAUAAGGCGAGCGCUUGCAGGAUGAAAUUGUCCACGGUUUGCUCAUGGUCUUAAUCCUUGAAGUCAGAUCAGAGAUCUUCUCAUCUUCAUAUAGAUUUAACAAAGGGGAAAACAUGUCAAUCUAGCAAUAAUCGUCGUUAAAAUCCAUCAGAGAUGCUCCUAAGCAUGACAGAAAGCACCUGAGAAACUACCCCAAAACGAGAAGAACGAGUGCAGCAGAAAUGGGGCUCUUAAGCAAUUCCCCUACAGGCCGGGAAGAUUGUGUAAACAGCACCUGUGCGUGCUCUUCAUCACUGUACUGUCCCAAAACUCUUCCAUUAAUGCUGGCCCUUCUUCAGGACCUGAAGCUAAUGCCUUCUCUCAUCCAUAGCCUUCAGAAACCACACAAACCCUGUAGAUAUAUAAAGCUCCCAAAACAAGAAACCUUGAAUGCUCAUAUGGGAAAUUAAACCUGAGGAAAAUCAUUUCUUGAGGUUCCUUGUUUUAUAGGUGUGAAUUCAAGCGGCAGUGGCUUGUCUAUGUGCUUGGUUGCACACAAUUUCUUGUGGGACACGCUAGAGCUUUUCUUGGGUUACUUCCUCUUGUCUUUGCAUGCAUACUAGAUGGACACGUGGGAUGCUUUAGGUUGGACGUGGCUUUCAUGAGAGAAUUUGAAGUUAGGUGUGUGAUGUUGGUGCAUCCUAGCCAGGAGGUG